GGUCGCACACGGACUAUUUUGGUUUUGUCGUGACACGGCUCAUAUGAAUUCGACAACUUCCGGUUUACUAUAUGACCUACUUAGUUUAAACAAUAUUUUAUUAAUAAUCCACACAUUUACAUAAUAAAUAACAUAAAAUAAAAUUUACGGAUUGAGUAUGACCUACUUGACAAGCAUAUCGACCUGUAUAGCCCAUAAGGGAAAUAAAAGAUCAUUUACUCCAAUAUUCACUUGGAAAGGCUGGUACAUGUAAUAAGCUAGAAAAAAGAAUAAGAUUAAAGAAUUUAGACAAGAAGAUGAUCACAAACAACAGGUGGACAUGUGUUACUGUCAAGCAAAUGAAGAUUAGCACCACAGUCUGUGGGAAUCUCCAGUUUCCAGAUGUAGUGAUCAUAACUGUAGAGGCACCAAUAUGAACACUUGGGACUACAUAUAGUUGGACUAUUUUAGAGGGGUAGUCACUAGUCUGAGUUACCACUUCAGUUGAAUCCCCUGUCAAGAACAUUGUGUUGAAGGAAAAUGUUAACUCUAGUUGUUUUGGCUUCAAACAAAACCAUGACACUUACCCAGCAGUGAUAGAUUAAACCAAUUGUGAUAUUUUGACUGUUUCCCCAAAAGUUUCCAUGAAUUGAAGCUCCUGGGACUUGUGUAACAUAUGACUGCACAUUCCAAAAUUUAUUAAAUAUUGUGUAAUGUUUAGCAAUGUUGUGUAAAUACAUUCAGAGCUAGUAUAACAUGUAUCUUAGCUUGCCUGGUUUAAUGAAAAGUAAUGAACCUGAGAAUUGAAACUAGAAUAAAUUGUUGUUAUUAGUCCCCUUCUGUUAUCACCAAGAGGGGACAAAAGGCUGACCCCUUUCUGUAAGUCAAUGAAAUCUGAAU